rnacentral:rRNA from 1 species
GGGGCUCAGAUUGUACGGUAGGGUACUGGCAACAGUGCUCUGCUGAAAUAUUUUCACCCAUGUCUUUUGCGCACUUUUUGUUUCCUGGGCGAGUUUGCUCGCCACCAGGACCCCCAUAUGAACCUUUUUUGUUUUUGCACUCAGCGUCAGUACAAUAAUUUAAUCUAUUAAAACUUUCAACAACGGAUCUCUUGGUUCUGGCAUCGAUGAAGAACGCAGCGAAAUGCGAUACGUAGUGUGAAUUGCAGAAUUCAGUGAAUCAUCGAAUCUUUGAACGCACAUUGCGCCCUUUGGUAUUCCAAAGGGCAUGCCUGUUCGAGCGUCAUUUGUACCCUCAAGCUUUGCUUGGUGUUGGGCGUCUUAUUGUCUCUCCGUCUCGGGGAGACUCGCCUUAAAACAAUUGGCAGCCGGCCUACUGGUUUCGGAGCGCAGCACAAAUUUGCGCUUGCAAUCAGCCAAGGGCGGCAUCCAUGAAGCCUUUUUUCUCUCACAUUUUGACCUCGGAUCAGGUAGGGAUACCCGCUGAACUUAAGCAUAUCAAA